rnacentral:tRNA from 1 species
GCCGACGUAGCUCAACGGCAGAGCAACUGUUUUGUAAACAGUCGGUUGGGGGUUCGAUUCCCUUCGUCGGCU